UGGGGAAUUUUGGACAAUGGGCGCAAGCCUGAUCCAGCCACUCCGCGUGCAGGAUGAAGGCCCUCGGGUUGUAAACUGCUUUUGUACGGAACGAAAAGGCUCUGGUUAAUACCUGGGGCUCAUGACGGUACCGUAAGAAUAAGCACCGGCUAACUACGUG
rnacentral:rRNA from 1 species